rnacentral:ncRNA from 1 species
GGACAGGGGAGCUUGUGAGCAGGCUGAGAGGAAGUCAUCAACUUCGACCCUUACACCUGAUUUGGAUAAUGCCAACGUAGGGAGCGGGAGAAA